GAUGAGCGCUGGCGGCGUGCUUAACACAUGCAAGUCGAACGGAAAGGCUCCUGCUUGCAGGGGUACUCGAGUGGCGAACGGGUGAGUAACACGUGGGUGAUCUGCCCUGCACUUCGGGAUAAGCCUGGGAAACUGGGUCUAAUACCGGAUAGGACGAUGGUUUGGAUGCCAUUGUGGAAAGUUUUUCGGUGUGGGAUGAGCUCGCGGCCUAUCAGCUUGUUGGUGGGGUAAUGGCCUACCAAGGCGUCGACGGGUAGCCGGCCUGAGAGGGUGUACGGCCACAUUGGGACUGAGAUACGGCCCAGACUCCUACGGGAGGCAGCAGUGGGGAAUAUUGCACAAUGGGCGCAAGCCUGAUGCAGCGACGCCGCGUGGGGGAUGACGGCCUUCGGGUUGUAAACUCCUUUCGCUAGGGACGAAGCGCAAGUGACGGUACCUGGAGAAGAAGCACCGGCUAACUACGUG
rnacentral:rRNA from 1 species